rnacentral:lncRNA from 1 species
GCCCACUCCCCAGGGCUGCCUGGGGUCACCCCCAAAUCUUGCUCCCAAGGCCUGCCUCUGGGGGCCCAGGCCCAGAGGCCAGAGGCCGCCUCAGCAAUCCUGAAGCAGACAGCAGAUGGCAGCCUUGGAUCAGCCCUUUCUGGCUGUUUCCAGGCUCCAGCUGAAGGUGGAAGGGUGGUUCUGCUGUGUUCUCUUCCUUGGAAUUUCUGGGAAAACCACGAGCGGGACUAGAACCCAAAAUCUUCAUUCCAUCGUCAAUGAAAGCCAAAGACACCUGGACCUUGGAAACAGUCUGAGCCUUCCUGAUGGAGAGCGGAUGAGGACCGGAGGGAAAGGGACACCGGACUUUGGAAACAGUCUAAGCCUUCCCGAUGGAGAGUGGAUGAGGACCGGAGAGAAAGGGCCCUGAGAAAGUAGGCUGCUGCCCUGGAUCCCAGACCCAACCAGAGUGGCACAGAGUCCUCCAGAACAGAGCGUGCCCCCGGGAGAGCCACCGGCCCUGCUGCACCUGCUGGGGUGUCCCUGCUGUUCACCCUCCCUGGGCUCCUGGACCACAGCGGGGCAGAGUGGAGGAGGAGGUGUGCACAGAGGCACCAUUGUUGUGGGAAGCAGUUUGUUGGUGAGGAGGGAGCUGCGGUCCUGCAUGACAUCCACACGUGUGACAUCCACACGCGUGAAAUCAGCACACACGCGUGACAUCCACACGCGUGACACCCACAUGCGUGACACCAGCACACACGUGACAUCCACGCACAUUCAGACAGGACUAGCACAAGAACCGCACGGAAUGACCACAGAGGGUCUUGGCGGGAACGGAAAACAAGCUGCCUCCAACCUCGUGCAGCCUCUUUUUCCUCCAGAUCAUCGCUAAGUCCUCCCAGGGCUGGUGUGCCCGAGAAGCAGGAGGGUUCCCGAGAGCAGCUUUUUGCUCCCAGGAGUGGCAGGUUCCUGCCGCCUGACAGGCUGCUCGCGGAGGAGGCUGGAGCCAGCACAAACGCCAUGUCUUGUCGAGACCUUCACUAGAGUCUCUCCGGUUGUUUUUUUUCUCGAGAAAAAUAUUGGAAAAUUGGUGAAAAUAUUUACAUCGAUUUUAUCUCUUUAUCUUGGUUUGACUUUUUUAUUCUCCUUUAAGUUGAUUCAUUUUUAGUGAAGUGCAAAAUAAAUUCUCAUGUUUGAAGUUUUGGAAAAGUCUGCAGUCCCAGGGAGGUGAUGGGUUAAAUGCUGUUUGUUGACUGUGGACUGCAGAUGGCUCAGCUCUUACCUUGACAAGGACGGUGAGGACGGCAGACAUGGGCGCCCGGCUGCUGUGCCUCCCUCCCUGCCUGGCUUCUGCCUGAUGCUGCUGCUGAGCCCCCGAAUUGCCUCACCAGACCCCGUCCACCCAGACACUGGGAGCCCAUGGCCAAACUGGUGUGUCUUGCAUUAAAAAUAAAACCCAUUUAUGACAUCUGA